rnacentral:rRNA from 1 species
GUGAGGAAUAUUGCGCAAUGGAGGCAACUCUGACGCAGCCAUGCCGCGUGCAGGAAGAAGGCGCUACGCGUUGUAAACUGCUUUUAACCGGGAAGAAACCCCAGGACGUGUCCUGGGUUGACGGUACCGGAGGAAUAAGCACCGGCUAACUUCGUGCCAGCAGCCGCGGUAAUACGAAGGGUGCAAGCGUUAUCCGGAUUCAUUGGGUUUAAAGGGUACGUAGGCGGAGCGUUAAGUCAGUGGUGAAAUCCUGCAGCUUAACUGUAGACUUGCCAUUGAUACUGGCGCUCUUGAGUGCGCUUGAAGUGGGCGGAAUGUGCCGUGUAGCGGUGAAAUGCUUAGAUAUGGCACAGAACACCAAUUGCGAAGGCAGCUCACUAAGGCGAUACUGACGCUGAGGCACGAAAGCGUGGGGAUCGAACAGGAUUAGAAACCCUGGUAGUCC